rnacentral:snRNA from 1 species
GUUCAUUCCUAAAUAUACUUUAAAAUAGAAACAAUACAGAGGAGAUUAGCAUUGCCUCCGCGCAAGGAUGACGUGCAAAUUCCUGUAGGUUAAUGAUU